rnacentral:rRNA from 1 species
GGAGCUUGCUCCACCGGAAAAAGAAGAGUGGCGAACGGGUGAGUAACACGUGGGUAACCUGCCCAUCAGAAGGGGAUAACACUUGGAAACAGGUGCUAAUACCGUAUAACAAUCGAAACCGCAUGGUUUUGAUUUGAAAGGCGCUUUCGGGUGUCGCUGAUGGAUGGACCCGCGGUGCAUUAGCUAGUUGGUGAGGUAACGGCUCACCAAGGCUACGAUGCAUAGCCGACCUGAGAGGGUGAUCGGCCACAUUGGGACUGAGACACGGCCCAAACUCCUACGGGAGGCAGCAGUAGGGAAUCUUCGGCAAUGGACGAAAGUCUGACCGAGCAACGCCGCGUGAGUGAAGAAGGUUUUCGGAUCGUAAAACUCUGUUGUUAGAGAAGAACAAGGAUGAGAGUAACUGUUCAUCCCUUGACGGUAUCUAACCAGAAAGCCACGGCUAACUACGUGCCAGCAGCCGCGGUAAUACGUAGGUGGCAAGCGUUGUCCGGAUUUAUUGGGCGUAAAGCGAGCGCAGGCGGUUUCUUAAGUCUGAUGUGAAAGCCCCCGGCUCAACCGGGGAGGGUCAUUGGAAACUGGGAGACUUGAGUGCAGAAGAGGAGAGUGGAAUUCCAUGUGUAGCGGUGAAAUGCGUAGAUAUAUGGAGGAACACCAGUGGCGAAGGCGGCUCUCUGGUCUGUAACUGACGCUGAGGCUCGAAAGCGUGGGGAGCAAACAGGAUUAGAUACCCUGGUAGUCCACGCCGUAAACGAUGAGUGCUAAGUGUUGGAGGGUUUCCGCCCUUCAGUGCUGCAGCUAACGCAUUAAGCACUCCGCCUGGGGAGUACGACCGCAAGGUUGAAACUCAAAGGAAUUGACGGGGGCCCGCACAAGCGGUGGAGCAUGUGGUUUAAUUCGAAGCACGCGAAGAACCUUACCAGGUCUUGACAUCCUUUGACCACUCUAGAGAUAGAGCUUCCCCUUCGGGGGCAAAGUGACAGGUGGUGCAUGGUUGUCGUCAGCUCGUGUCGUGAGAUGUUGGGUUAAGUCCCGCAACGAGCGCAACCCUUAUUGUUAGUUGCCAUCAUUCAGUUGGGCACUCUAGCAAGACUGCCGGUGACAAACCGGAGGAAGGUGGGGAUGACGUCAAAUCAUCAUGCCCCUUAUGACCUGGGCUACACACGUGCUACAAUGGGAAGUACAACGAGUCGCGAAGUCGCGAGGCUAAGCUAAUCUCUUAAAGCUUCUCUCAGUUCGGAUUGUAGGCUGCAACUCGCCUACAUGAAGCCGGAAUCGCUAGUAAUCGCGGAUCAGCACGCCGCGGUGAAUACGUUCCCGGGCCUUGUACACACCGCC